rnacentral:rRNA from 1 species
AGGAAGGUGGGGAUGACGUCAAGUCAUCAUGGCCCUUACGGCCUGGGCUACACACGUGCUACAAUGGUCGGUACAAAGGGUUGCCAAGCCGCGAGGUGGAGCUAACUCCCAAUAAAACCGAUCGUAGUCCGGAUCGCAGUCUGCAACUCGACUGCGUGAAGUCGGAAUCGCUAGUAAUCGUGAAUCAGAAUGUCACGGUGAAUACGUUCCCGGGCCUU